rnacentral:rRNA from 1 species
GCACGGGGAGGUAGUGACAAAAAAUAACGAUACGGGACUCAUCCGAGGCCCCGUAAUCGGAAUGAGAACAUCCUAAAUCCUUUAACGAGGAUCUAUUGGAGGGCAAGUCUGGUGCCAGCAGCCGCGGUAAUUCCAGCUCCAAUAGCGUAUAUUAAAGUUGUUGCGGUUAAAAAGCUCGUAGUUGGUUCUGCGUGCCACGCUGUCGGUUCACCGCCUGUCGGUGCAACUGGCAUGCCGUGGUAUGUCCUGUCGGUGGCGUACAGGCUUCGCGGCGCUCCCUACACGAUACGUUGUGUAGGCCGUCGCGUCGUACCUGUGCGCCGGCUCAAUCCUACCGCGGUGCUCUUCAUCGAGUGUCGAGGUAGGCCGACACAUUUUACUUUGAACAAAUUAGAGUGCUUAAAGCAGGCUCUUAAAUCAGCCUGAAUAGUGGUGCAUGGAAUAAUGGAACAGGACCUUGGUUCUAUUUUGUUGGUUUUAGGAAUCCAAGGUAAUGAUCAAUAAGGACAGGCGGGGGCAUUCGUAUUGCGACGUUAGAGGUGAAAUUCUUGGAUCGUCGCAAGACGCACUAGAGCGAAAGCAUUUGCCAAGUAUGUCUUAAUUGAUCAAGAACGAAAGUUAGAGGUUCGAAGGCGAUCAGAUACCGCCCUAGUUCUAACCAUAAACGAUGCCAGCCAGCGAUCCGCCGAUGUUCUUUCGAUGACACGGCGGGGAGCUUUCCCCGGGAAACCAAAGCUUUUGGGUUCCGGGGGAAGUAUGGUUGCAAAGCUGAAACUUAAAGGAAUUGACGGAAGGGCACCACCAGGAGUGGAGCCUGCGGCUUAAUUUGACUCAACACG